rnacentral:rRNA from 1 species
UACGUAGGGGCCUAGCGUUGUCCGGAAUUAUUGGGCGUAAAGAGCUCGUAGGCGGCCAGUUGCGUCUGCUGUGAAAUCCCGGGGCUCAACCCCGGGCGUGCAGUGGAUACGGGCUGGCUAGAGGCAGGCAGGGGAGAACGGAAUUCCCGGAGUAGCGGUGAAAUGCGCAGAUAUCGGGAGGAACACCGGUGGCGAAGGCGGUUCUCUGGGCCUGUACUGACGCUGAGGAGCGAAAGCGUGGGGAGCGAACAGG